rnacentral:rRNA from 1 species
AUUGAACGCUGGCGGAAUGCUUUACACAUGCAAGUCGAGCGGCAGCGCGGGGCAACCUGGCGGCGAGCGGCGAACGGGUGAGUAAUACAUCGGAACGUACCCAGACGUGGGGGAUAACACAUCGAAAGAUGUGCUAAUACCGCAUACGACCUGAGGGUGAAAGGGGGGGAUCGCAAGACCUCUCGCGAUUGGAGCGGCCGAUGUCGGAUUAGCUAGUUGGUGGGGUAAAGGCUCACCAAGGCGACGAUCCGUAGCUGGGCUGAGAGGACGACCAGCCACACUGGGACUGAGACACGGCCCAGACUCCUACGGGAGGCAGCAGUGGGGAAUAUUGCACAAUGGGCGCAAGCCUGAUGCAGCCAUUCCGCGUGCAGGACGAAGGCCUUCGGGUUGUAAACUGCUUUUGUACGGAACGAAAAAGCUCUUAUUAAUACUAGGAGUCCAUGACGGUACCGUAAGAAUAAGCACCGGCUAACUACGUGCCAGCAGCCGCUGUAA